rnacentral:tRNA from 11 species
AUACGACCACGUAGUCAGCCGAGUAGUUAUACAGGAUGU